rnacentral:tRNA from 1 species
GGGUGAUUAGCUCAGAGGUUAGAGCUCCUCUUUUACAAGGAGGAGGUCGGCGGUUCAAAUCCGUCAUCACCCA